UACGGGGGGGAGCAAGCGUUGUUCGGAUUUACUGGGCGUAAAGGGCGCGUAGGCGGUCAGCACAAGUCAGUUGUGAAAUCUCCGGGCUUAACUCGGAAAGGUCAACUGAUACUGUGCGACUAGAGUGCGGAAGGGGCAACUGGAAUUCUCGGUGUAGCGGUGAAAUGCGUAGAUAUCGUUUGGAACGCCAAUGGUGAAAACAGACAGCUGGGAGUGUGCUGACGCUGAGACACGAAAGCCAGGGGAGCGAACGGG
rnacentral:rRNA from 1 species